rnacentral:rRNA from 1 species
GGAAACCCGGUGCCAGAAGCCGGGAGAAGACGGAGGGGGCAAGGGUUAAGCGGCAUUACGGGGGGUAAGGCGAAGGCAGGCGGUUGGAUAAGGUAGAUGUGAAAGCCCCGAGCUCAAACUGGGAAGUUCAUUCGAUACUUGGAAGCUAGAGUAUGGGAGAGGGGGGUAGAAUUCCAAGUGUAGCGGUGAAAUGCGUAGAGAUUUGGAGGAAUACCAGUGGCGAAGGCGGCCCCCUGGCACACUACUGACGCUCAGGUGCGAAAGCGUGGGGAGCAAACAGGAUUAGAUACCCGAGUAGUC